UACAGAGGGGGCAAGCGUUGUUCGGAAUUACUGGGCGUAAAGGGCGCGUAGGCGGCCCGCUAAGUCGAACGUGAAAUCCCUGGGCUCAACCCAGGAACUGCGUCCGAUACUGGCAGGCUUGAAUCCGGGAGAGGGAUGCGGAAUUCCUGGUGUAGCGGUGAAAUGCGCAGAUAUCAGGAGGAACACCGAUUGCGAAGGCAGCUCGCUGGGACGUUACUGACGCUGAGACGCGAAAGCGUGGGGAGCAAACAGG
rnacentral:rRNA from 1 species